CGCGGCUGUAAGGAUUACAUGAACAGAGACUGGUAGAGCUGGAAGAAAAGGAUUAUGAAAUGGUACAGUACAAGGCAAGACACCUGGCUGCCCGAAUUCAGCACUCAGGAAAGCCGUUCUGGAGAAUUGCUCAGACUGGAAUCACCCCAUGGGACUUGAAGUGAAUUCAAUUGAAGAACUUGCUGUAAACAUGUUGAUCAUAAUGAAGAGCCUCUUGAAAUGCUUGAUUAAGUGUCUUCUGAAGAAUUUCCCCAACGUGGAUGGCAGUAGUGAGUAGCUAAUUGUACCAAUUUGUAUCCUGCAGGAAGCAGAUGGGAAUGUAGAGUUAGGAAUGCAAGAUGGUGACUGGGGAUGAUGCCUGUGAGAGAGAAAAGGACAAGGAGCAAGAAUGAGCAGGGAGAGUCGUCAGAUCAUAAUGCAGCUCUGGUCCAUGUGGAAGGAUGAGAGGAGGGGCAGAAUGGGGCAGCAUUGUCUUAGACCAUGAGACAGAUGUGACAAAAUCUUGGUCGAUCCAGUGGGGAGUUCUGGAGGAAAGAGUUCCUAUUAGAAGAGUACCACAUUGGGCAGAAAUGGCCAGGCCUUAGUACUGCCACCAUGCUUAGUCCAUGGCUGGAAUCUGCUUAGGGAAAGCAUGGCCUUGUCAAGAAGUUGUGGCUGAUCUUGGAAGGUGCCGUAGCCAGAGGCUGUCAGCUAACUGCACUGCUCACGAAUAUUUGACAAAUUCUUUCUCGAAGCAAGU